rnacentral:rRNA from 1 species
AUUGAACGCUGGCGGCAGGCCUAACACAUGCAAGUCGAGCGGUAGAGAGGAGCUUGCUUCUCUUGAGAGCGGCGGACGGGUGAGUAAUGCCUAGGAAUCUGCCUGGUAGUGGGGGAUAACGUUCGGAAACGGACGCUAAUACCGCAUACGUCCUACGGGAGAAAGUGGGGGAUCUUCGGACCUCACGCUAUCAGAUGAGCCUAGGUCGGAUUAGGUAGUUGGUGAGGUAAAGGCUCACCAAGGCGACGAUCCGUAACUGGUCUGAGAGGAGGAUCAGUCAAACUGGAACGGCGAAACGGGCCAGAGUCGUACGGGAGGCAGCAGUGGGGAAUAUUGGACAAUGGGCGAAAGCCUGAUCCAGCCAUGCCGCGUGUGUGAAGAAGGUCUUCGGAUUGUAAAGCACUUUAAGUUGGGAGGGAGGUCAGUAGCUUAAUACGUUGCUGAUUUGACGUUACCGACAGAAUAAGCACCGGCUAACUCUGUGCCAGCCGCCGCCGUAACAC